rnacentral:rRNA from 1 species
AUACGUAGGUGGCAAGCGUUGUCCGGAAUUAUUGGGCGUAAAGCGCAUGUAGGCGGUAAUUUAAGUCUGUCGUGAAACUGCGGGGCUCAGCCCCGUAUGGCGAUGGAAACUGGGUUACUUGAGUGCAGGAGAGGAAAGGGGAACUCCCAGUGUAGCGGUGAAAUGCGUAGAUAUUGGGAAGAACACCGGUGGCGAAGGCGCCUUUCUGGACUGUGUCUGACGCUGAGAUGCGAAAGCCAGGGUAGCGAACGGGAUUAGAUACCCCGGUAGUCCUGGCCGUAAACGAUGGGUACUAGGUGUGGGAGGUAUCGACCCCUUCCGUGCCGGAGUUAACGCAAUAAGUCCCCCGCCUGGGGAGUACGGCCGCAAGGCUUAAACUCAAAUGAAUUGACGGGG